rnacentral:rRNA from 1 species
GACCGGCGGCAUGAAUUUUAGUUUGAACCCCCGAAACUAAGUGAGCUACUUCGAGAUAGUCUUAAGAACGCACCCGUCUCUGUUGCAAAAGAGUGGGAAAAACUCCAAGUAGAGGCAACAAACCUAUCGCACCUAGAGAUAGCUGGUUACUCAAGAAAAGAAUUUAAGUUCAACCUAAAGUUCCUUAAUUACACAAAACAAAACUUUAGAGCCACUCAAAUAAGGCACAGCUUAUUUGAAAUAGGAUCCAACCUACAUUAUAGGGUAAUCAUACUAAAUAAGUAACAAGUGGGCCUAAAAGCAGCCACCUACAAAAAGCGUUAAAGCUUAAUACUAAUUUUUACUAAUACCACUACUUCCUUAGAACCCUUUAUUGAUAUUGAGUUACUCCAUAAGCUUAUGGAAGCUAUUAUGCUAGAACUAGUAACAAGAAACAGAUUUUCUCCUAAAUAUAAGCCUAAGCCUCAAUAGACAAACUAUAGGCAAUUAACGUAAAUGAAAAUAUUAUAAUAACCCAAACAAGAAAAACCUAUAACUAAACAACGUUACCCUUACACUAGAAUAUUAAAGGAAAGAUUAAAAGAAAAAGAAGGAACUCGGCAAACCACAACCCCGCCUGUUUACCAAAAACAUCGCCUCUUGCCUCAUAUAAGAGGUCCAGCCUGCCCAGUGACAAAAUUCAACGGCCACGGUAUCCUGACCGCGCGAAGGUAGCAUAAUAACUCGUUCUUUAAAUGGGGACUUGAAUCAACGGCAUCACGAGGGUUACACUGUCUCCUUUUUCUAAUCAGUGAAACUAAUCUCCCCGUGAAGAAGCGAGGAUACCCAUAUAAGACGAGAAGACCCCAUGGAGCUUCAAACCCAAUUACACCCCCAACUUCUAUAAUACUGAACUUUAAGGGCCCUGUACAAUUGGUUUUAGGUUGGGGCGACCACGGAGUAUAACAAAACCUCCACAAUGAACGGAAUUAACUCCUCAUCUAAGAAAUACACCUCUAAGAAUUAAAAUAUUAACAUAAAAUGAUCCACUUUUUGAUCAAUGAACCAAGUUACCCUGGGGAUAACAGCGCAAUCCAUUUCAAGAGCCCCUAUCGACAAAUGGGUUUACGACCUCGAUGUUGGAUCAGGGUAUCCUAGUGGUGUAGCA